rnacentral:snRNA from 1 species
UUUCUAAUAUGGUAUCAGAGCUU